CCCCACUGCUAUCGGGAUGGGACUAAGACAUGCUAGUCGUGCGUCUCCAAGCCAUGGCGGAGACGCGGCGUACAGCUCAGUAACACGUGGCUAACCUGCCCUUAGGACAGGGACAACCCCGGGAAACUGGGGCUAAUCCCUGAUAGGUGAGGGUUCCUGGAAUGGGCCCUCGCCGAAAGGGCGCCUAGACCAUGCUUCUAGGCGCUGCCCAAGGAUGGAGCCGCGGCCGAUCAGGUUGUUGGUGAGGCAACGGCUCACCAAGCCUUUAACCGGUACGGGCCGUGAGAGCGGGAGCCCGGAGAUGGGUACUGAGACAAGGACCCAGGCCCUACGGGGCGCAGCAGUCGCGAAAACUCCGCAAUACGCGAAAGCGUGACGGGGCUAUCCCGAGUGCCGUCCGCUGAGGAUGGCUUUUCCCUAGUGUAUAAAGCUGGGGGAAUAAGGAGAGGGCAAGCCUGGUGUCAGCCGCCGCGGUAAUACCAGCUCUCCGAGUGGUGGGGAUGCUUAUUGGGCCUAAAGCAUUCGUAGCCGGUUGGGCAAGUCCUCCGUUAAAUCCAGCGAUUCAAUCGUUGGACUGCGGGGGAUACUGCCCGGCUUGGGGGCGGAAGAGGCCGACGGUAUUCUCGGGGUAGGGGUGAAAUCCUAUAAUCCCGGGAGGACCACCAGUGGCGAAGGCUGUCGGCUAGAACGCGCCCGACGGUGAGGGAUGAAAGCUGGGGGAGCGAACCGGAUUAGAUACCCGGGUAGUCCCAGCUGUAAACGAUGCAGGCUAGGUGUUGGCGCGGCUACGUGCCGCUCCAGUGCCGCAAGGAAGCCGUUAAGCCUGCCGCCUGGGAAGUACGGCCGCAAGGCUGAAACUUAAAGGAAUUGGCGGGGGAGCACCACAAGGGGUGAAGCUUGCGGUUU
rnacentral:rRNA from 1 species